GUCUUGGCUGUAAACGGUGCGCACUUGCCGCGAGCUAGGUUAUACUGGUUCGUGGCGAAGCUAACGCGUUAAGUGCGCCGCCUGGGGAAUACGGCCGCAAGGCUAAAACUCAAAGAAAUUGACGGGGGCCUGCACAAGCGGUGGAGUAUGUGGCUUAAUUCGAUGCAACGCGAAGAACCUUACCUAGCCUUGACAUCUUGACAGUAAUCUUUGGAAACAAAGGUGAGGUAGCAAUACCAAAUCAAGACAGGUGCUGCAUGGCUGUCGU
rnacentral:rRNA from 1 species